CAUCCAGGUCAGUCUUCUGUUACUCUUUUGAGUAUCUCCAUGGACGGAGACUCCACAACCUCCCUGGGAAACCUGCGCCAGUGUUCAGUCAUCCUUACAAUGAAAAAGUGUUUC